rnacentral:lncRNA from 1 species
UUUUUUUUUUUUUUUUUUUUUUUUUUACAGUCUUCUCCGCAAAGAACCUGCAAAACACAAGAGUGCAACGAUGCAGAGUGCAGGAACAUGAAGGGUGCAGAUGCUCCAGAUGCAGUUUAGACUACCAACAACUAAUAUUGAAAUCCAAAAACAAACAAACUGAUACGAGCAAACAGAAGCAGAUUAAAUCCCGAAGGAUCAAACCUGCUCUAAUACCAAGUUGAAUAUCAGAGUGCGCAACGAACAAGACUAACAAGAAUAAGAAUAUUAUUAAACAAACGAGAAUGCCGAAACGGCUACAAAACCCUAAGAUGCUACAUUGUGACUAACUUGAUUAUUCUAUAGAGUUACAAAGUAUCAUAUAUAUAGAAAACUAACCUAACCCUAAUAGGCAAGGAAACGAAACCCUAAUACUAACGGGCUAAGCCCAAAAUACCAAACAUUAAAAUAAAUCUAAAUAAUAAUAUUUUCCAACAGGAAGUGCCAAAGAUUCACCAGUAAAUGGGAUUAGAUAAACAAAAAAUGGCCGAAGUUAGGUCUACCAUCGUAUAGGCACAAGAAGCCAUUGCAAGAACCCACAAUUUCGACUGCGAACCCGUACUCAAUACUGGAGUCUCUAGAAAGCCUCACGACAUCGCUGUGUUGGGUUAGAGUGCUCGUCGAGGCCAACCACGAAGUGACCUAUCGACUUGGCACAAGGGGCGUUGAAGCAAUGGAGCAAAAUGCAAGCCGGUGCUUGUGAAAAUAGGGACAUGGUGAAGUGGCGGUCUGAGAGCCAGUGGACACUCGUCUGCAUUGGGUGAGCGUCUUGGUUGAGAUCUCUAUUAUUGUGUGGCUGGAAAUUGCGGAAUGUACAAUGUGGGGUUUCUUCUCAUGUUUCUUUAUCUUCUUCUUUUGAAGGUUUGUUAGGGAAAUUUGCAAAAUUAACCAAAUUUUAGACCCUAUAUAUUGAAUUAUUGCCACCGUUUUAAGUUAAGGAUCAUUAUAACCAAAAUUUUACAUGAAAUUACUAACAUACGCUUAAAAUGAGUUUUCCCAUAUAACCAAAAUGAAAAAAAUUUAAAAUUCAAGCUCAAGAAAUGUUCAUUCAGAUUGAAUAUGCCAUGUUGGUCGAAUCUAGCCAGAAAACUGUCGUUCUCCGGUCACAUAGCAGGGAAUUCGAAACCCAUAUAGUCAAUCCUUGCCAAAGUUGUUUAUUUGAGAAAAAAAAGAAGAGGAAUUUAGCUCCAAAAGCAAAGCAAAUCAACGAGCUUUAUAGGAUCACACAAGCAAUCAUGGAUAGCAUCGUUGACACUAUCAACUCCGCAACCAUCGUCAUCUCAACCGAAGCUAGUGCCCAGCCCACCACCGUCUUUGUAACUCUCUCUCUCUCUCUCUCUCUCUCUAGUGCAUACAAAUCUUUAUGCAUGUGUGCUUUUUUUUUUCUCUUCUCAUUUGCACCAGAAAAGUAGAAUUGCUGCAUUUGUAGAAGCUUGAGAAAGGCUUAUCAUCCCUUGACGCAGUGCAUUAGGGACUGAAAUGUGAACAAACAAGUAAAAGCAGGAAAACUAUCAAAUAAAAAAUCCACAUAACACAAAUUGAGAGAAGAGAUAUCAACUAAUAUGACUUUAGGGUCCUUGUUAUACUCUGUUUGGUUGCUGAGAAACUCUGGGAAUCUAAAACACACAUAUAUGGACAGUUGGAUUUUGCGUUCUUACUCGUAUUUUCAAUCCUAAGAAUGAAAACUAUCAACGUUUGAGUGUUUUUGUAGGAUUUUUUUUUUGGUUGUGAUAAGAAAACUCAUUUUAAGAGUAUACAAAUACUUUCAUAUCAACUUUUAAUUAUAAUUAUCAUAAACUUAAAAGGGUGACUAUAAUUCUAUAUAGAGUCUCAACUGUUGCUUAUGGUUUCAAUUGUUGUCGUGUAGAUAGGGGGGAGAGUUCAAUUUCCUAUUUUUUGAAUUUUCACAGAUACCGUUUUCAUUAACUCACGAGUCUUUUUUAACCCAGUUUCACACUAAACCCUUUCUGAUGAAUUCAUUUUCAACCGUUCAAAUUUAAUCCUAUGGUCUACAUCCCAUCUGCACACACUGUCCGCAAAGCUCCGUUUGCACCUUAGAAAUCGCCCUCUUUAUAAACUGGCCUGGCCUACACGGCACAACCCAAUUCCAGGCCAAAAUUGCAUAAACCCAACUCCUUUUAAUUGUUUUCAGAAGAGUGGUAGUUUUGUAAUUAAAUGGAAAUAAAUGGAAACGUAGCCAAUUUGACAGUGCUUAUGAACAAUGCCAAACUCCCCUCAAUUUUAAACUAUAGUAAUAAUUCCUAGUAUUGGUGAAUCAUAUGAUGGUGGUCAGGAGAAGACUGAAAGUCUUCUCGGCCCUUGGAAGAGAGGAUUGUCGUGGUGAAACCACCAGUUAGUCCAUUUUUUAAAUAAAAUAAAAUAAAAUUUUGGAAUCAAACUUCAUUCAUUUUCCAAGUAGUCCUAAACUACUGAAAAAUUGGCAAAUGUACCAUUUUCCGUUGAGAUGUAGAUUUUACCCCUUUUAGAUCUACUCCAACCCUUAGAGUAAAAUUCAAAUUUUAGGUUCUAAACCUACCCCAAUUUGCUCCAACCCAUAGGGUAAAUAUGAGUUGUAACCCAUAACUCAUUUCUGGGGCAAAUUUAGGCCAGGAUUCCCUUUGGGUUAGUAGGGUUGACCCACCAAAUAUAUGUAUUUUUUUUUAGUUUUAUUUAUAAAUUCAUUAAAUCUAACCGUUAAGAUCUAAUAUGAUCAAAUCUAAUUGUAAAAAAAAAAAAAAAGAUUUAACUCUCCAAAUUUAGACCCAACGGCUAAAAUAAUUAAAAACAAUUGUUUUUUCAUAUUCUUUCAUAGUGUCUGAUGAGUUUCAUGGUGUCAGUUUAGUAAUUUUUCAAUAUUUGUCGGAAUCUAAAUAUUUUUAGGUUAAAAUGUUCAUAAAAUUAAAUUAGGAUAGUCUACAAAUAUAUAUAUAUAUAUAUAUAUAUUUAAAGUUACUUUAAGAAUCCUAAAUUCAUUUUUUAAUAAUCUCGGACUAAAAAUUUAACCCAUAAGAGUUAGAGCAGAAAACAUAUUUCUAGGUUAAACCCUAAAUUUUUUGGGUUAAAAAUUUAAACACGUCGGUUCUUGCACUAAUGCUAGCUAGAAACAGCGCAUUAGCUACGUAGUCCUUGGACAACAUCUUAUUUCAUAGAAAUAUUUCAUAUUCAUGACAAUACCUAUGUGUUAAAAUUAAUAGGGUUUAUUUGUCCUAUUGUAUAAAGGGAAUUUUGUCCUUUCAAGUACCUAUAUUUUUAGGCUAAUAUGUAAAGAGGCUGUUGACUUAUUUGAUGCAUGGUUAAUUUAUUUGAUACAUUUAAAAAAUAAAAUAAUUUUUUAUUCAAAUGAUUUUUUGUCAAGAUAAUAUUUAAAGAAAGAUUAAGAAAUUGAACGGUUCUAAUUAUAAAUUUUCUAUGGUAAAAAUACGUAUUUGCAAGUAGUCAUGAAUAGCUCAUCCCCGAAGAGGGGAAUGCAAGAGUAUUAUUCUUUAUUUAUUUCAUUGAAAUUAUUACAAAUUCAUGACAAUACUAAGCGUCAAAAUUCAUAAAGUUUAUUUCUCCUUUAGUAUGAUAUAAAGGGAUAUUACAUAAUAUCCUUUCUAGUUCUAUUUUUAGGGUGAUGGACAGAAUGUAAUAACGUAGUUUGGUCCACCGCUGCAUGUAAAGGUGCUGUUGACAUCAUCAUAAGCGUAGCUAUAAGCCUGAGGGCACUGGUCCUCAAAGAUCUUAGAGUAGUCUGUGGGUGGACAUGUAGCUGGUGUGUCAUUAGGAGGAGUGCAGCAGUAUUGUGGUUGAUUAAAUUGUGUACACGCACUCUUGCAUGCAAUUACGCUCCCAUCGGACCCCUUCACUUGCAGCUCAGCUGGGCAAACAGCGUUGACGUUGGCGGGGCAAGAAGAGGUCUGGCAGUCGCCCGUGCCGCCUUGUGGGGCAACAGACACGGGCAAGUUGAAGCCAUCAACAAGACUUACGUCGUAGAAAUCUUGGCCUCCGUUUGCGACAAUAUUUAUUUCGACUAGGCUUGCUGGUGGAACUGCUCCGUUACCGUUGCAUGUGACUUGGCCAGAGCUACACUCUGCUGUGGCACAACUGAACUUUCCUGAGGCGUCAGUGGAGCAUCCGGUUCGGCCCCAGAAGCGGCCUUUCCAUGGGACUGGAGUGGUCAAGGAACUGCUAGCGCCGGAUGCUAACUCGAACCCUGUGGAGGAUAGUUGUGGUUGUUGAUCGGAGGUUAGGGACCCUGGCCAUACGGUAUAGGGGCAACUGUUGGUGAAGGUGAUCGUAGCUGCAUGUGCACCUACAUGCCAAUUGUAAACGAAUAAUCAUAUAACCAUUAUGUUAACAAAAAAAUAUCUCUAUAUCUCUAUAUAUGUGUCUAUGAUGAUGUUACCAACUAUGGAUCAAUUUGAACACAAAUUAAUAACGUUCAAACAAAACAAAAAUCAUCAGUUUAAAAUUUCAUGUCUAACAGUUUAACGAUCGAUAUAACAUUUUUCAUGAAUCAUGACACGUACCAGAUCACAUACAAAUAACCGUAAACAAAAAGAACAGAACAAGUCAAUUUGUUUACCUGCGAAGAAGAUGGCUAAGGUGAGACUGAGGAUUACUUGGUUGUUCAUCAUGAUUAAGCAAUCACUUCUUCAAUUUGCUGCCAAAUUAAUUUGGUGAUGAAAUGAUGAAGUUGGGAACCGAUGGGCCUUUGGUUUUAUAGGCAUAAGCGCAUACCUAACUUUAGACUUUUUUAUUUUUGCAUGUCUGCUACAUGAGGAUCCACGUUACCACUAAUAAGUGAUGAGACGACUUGUCUUAAUUAUGGCUUUAUUAGGCGUAUUUGGUCCCUGGACUGACCCCUAGCAAGCUAUUUCCUCAUUCAACCCAAGACAUUUCUCCGCAAAAAUGCCAAACAGGAGUUAAGUGGGACAAUUUGAGUUUACAGGGUAAAAUGAGAAUGAACUUGAGUUUCAGGAAGCGUCAGGAUAAAGCUUAUUUCUUAUAAAAAAAUAUAAGGAUUAAGUACCUAGAACUCCUCAAUCUUUUAGUGUCAUUUCAAAGUAGUCCCAACCUUUUUAAAUAUUCCAAACAAGUAACUAGUCUAUUGAAAAUUUCAGAUCUGUUAAGCAUCAGUUAAAUUUAUGUUAAAUUAACUACAACUUACAUUAGGUUCAUUUUCGAUCCAAUUCAAUACCUGUUAAAUCAUUGGGUUCCAUAUGUUUGAAAUUUAGAUUUUGAAGUAAAUAGUAUUAGUGUUGAUCAUGAUAUGCUCUGUUGGUGGGUUUGAAUAUAAACGCAGGAAUGGAGUUUCAAUGGUUGUAGGUUGAGCUUGAAGGUGAUAUUUGGGAAUUUUCGAUUACGUGAAUAAAGGUAAUACGCCUUCUAAAAACAAAGAAAACAACAAGCUAAAUAAUUUACAGUAACGAUGUGAUUCUCGGUUAUUGAAACUGUAAAACAACCGAUGUCGGUAUUUGCUGAUAUCAUUGCUACCAUUCUACGUCACCAGAGAACUUUCAUUGUCAAAACACAGCUGGUAUGGCUUCAUAAUUGAAUUCCCAUAAAAUGCCAAACUUUAUAUGGUCAACAACACUGCCGUGAUGGACGGGCCUAAAGGCUGCAAGUUAUCGUGCAUGAGGGGGUUAGGCUAAGGAAUUAUGAUUUGAAGACUCACACAGCAGUGGAAUAUUCCACAAUAUUAUUACUUAUUAUUCUUCAUUUCUGGAUUACAAAUUUCACAGCUACUCAAUGGCGAAGCCAGGAAUUCUCGGAGGAAGGGGCGAACUUAAAAGAGUGCAAGAUUAAAGAAAAAUGACAAUAAACAAAUCUUUUUAUAUAGUAAUGUCUUCUAUAAUUAAUCAAUACAAAGGAAGAGGACUACCCAAAAUACCCAAAGGAUGACUACUCGGAGGAGGACUGCUCGAAAUAUUUGAAGGUGGAGGAGGACUACCCGGAAUAUUUGAAGGAAGAGGAGGACUAUCCAGAAUAUUUGGAGAAGGAUUUAAACACUGUUUUUUAUAGCAUCGUUCCAUUACGUAAUUGUAUAAUGAAAGAAAAAAAAUAUAUCUUAGACUCUUAAUCCUAGAGUAGACUAUAAAGUAAUAUAUAAUCAAACCAAGAAUUUAAUUAAUCAAUUCCAACAAUCAUAUGAAUAAUCAAGAAUUCAAUUUUUAUUCUAAACAACAACUGGUCAUUAGGGUCUUUUAAGUAAUUGAGUAAGUUGAUUAGGGUUUAUAGUGGUUACGGUAAUCAAUUUUUUGUCAUUUGCAAAGCUGCAUUUUAUUUAGGGUUUUAGUUGGUUGAGUUGGGGUUUAUUAUGUUAAUAUAAAUAUGAUGUAAAUGUCUUCACCAUGUUCAGCUGUUUUUUUUCUUGCUAGACCAUGUGUGUAUUCAAGUUCCUAUAUAUAUAUAUAUAUAUAUAUAUAUAUAUAUAUCCUCUUUUAUGUACUUCAAAAAAAAAAAAUCAAUAAUCAUCAUAGUAUUCAUAUAAAUAAUUUAUAAUCAAUAACCAUAUAAUGUAUUACCCUAUAAUCUUAUAUCAAUUAAACAAAAAUUCAGAUUCACUAAUCUAUUAGGGUUUGAAAUAAAUAUAAAUUUAAACAGUAAUAUAAGUAAAAUCAAGUGUUCAAUAACCUAUGCUACCACACUAGUCAAAGUCGCCUAAUGGGACUUGUACGAUUGAACCUAUUGCUCAUCAAUCUAUGCUAGCACAUGAGUCGAAGUCGCCUAAUGCAACAUGUACGACAGAGUUUGGUGUAAUCAUAAUAUACGCUCUAGUGCUACGAUCACGUGAAGACUGGCGCUAUGCGCGGUCACCUACGAGUCGGAGUCGCCUAAUGCGACCUGUAAGACAUGACUGACACCUACUUGGAUCCAAGGUGAGUGUGCAAUGCGGGAGGUGAACAUACAUGUGAAGCACUUGCUCUGGCCCGAGGCGAGCACUAACACCGAGGGGCAGCAAUGAUGAGCAGACUACAUGAAUAUAAGCAUGCCAUAAUGAUGCAAUAAUUCUAAUCAACAUAAUAACAUUCAUAGCCGUAGAUAUAAUUAUGGCAUCAAAGAUUAUAAGCAUACCUAUGCAUCUCGUAGGAUGUAACACGUUUCAUAAAUUCCGUCAUUUCGCUAAUUUUUAUAAACUUUAGUCUAAUCCAGGCAUAGGUAAGAAAUUCUUUUUCAAAUGCAUAAUUGGAAACUAUCAAUCAUAUAUAUACUAUAAAAAGGAAAAGACCCACUCACCUGAAGUCUGCGUUACAACUCCCUAGCACGAAUAUCGAGAUGUCUCGAACAAUCGGCGCCUAGAACAAUGAUCAAAUCAUGUCUCAGAAUUAUUAUCUAUAGAACACGUAACUUACAUAAAAUGCAUCCAAACAGAAUUCUAGAAUGAUUGCUAACCCAUUGACCAAAAGUGAACCAUCGGUCAAAGGUAGAAGGUAGGGUCCACAACCCUAGGUAACUCGAUCAGGAAGAUCCGCACCCUGAAUUUCCAAUCCGUAACUUCCCAAGAGUUUCAAUAAGCUUCCAAAACAACAUCCUAAAGUUUCGGAACGAUCUAAUGGUUGGAUCUUCGCCAAUCGCUAAAAUAAAGUGGCAGUUGACGUUUUAUUUUACGAACUUACAAAUCCAAUUCGGGAAGAUCCAUACGUAGGAUUCCCGAUCCGUAAGUUUCUAAUAUCUUCAAAUAUUAUGUACUAUAACGUAUUAAAGUUUGGUGAUGAUCCAACGGUCAAAUCGUCGAAUCAUAAAUGGUCAAGUGACGUAGUAUUCCAUACUAGGUUCAAACUAUCAAACUAUAACAAACGGUUAUCAAAUUGACAUAAAAUUUGACUCAAAAAGGCAGCGUCAGCCCACUAGCCAUGCUCUGCCGUACAUGGCGGUCGGCCACCCCGACUCGCCGGAAAAUUCAACUAAUUCUAAAAAUUCUAAAAUUUUACUAGAAUGAAAAUCUCAAUGAGUAGAUCAAGUUUUAUACCUGUGGCCAAGUCCAAUUUGGCCGGAAAAAGCUUCAAAUCUCCACGAACCCGCCGGAAACCCUAGAAAAUGGUGGUUGUCGAUUCGGCUUCUUCGGUGCUCCGCUGCUCCAACCAAGCCUUGAGACUGUUCCUAGGUUCAAGAGAAUUCAACCCAUGGUGGUGGUCGACGGAGUUUGUUUCAGAAAUGGUUGAUCGCUGCCGUGAGACCCUCGGCGCCACUCACUCGGUUCCUCAUGAAACUAGGGCUAUAAGCUGUCGAGUUUGGGUGGGAAUUGAAGAGGGAAGAUCGAUGAGUUAGGUGAUGGUGUUGGAUGGCUUCAACAUGCCGGAAAUCCGACAAAAAAAGCAACGGAAAAGUCAAUAGAAACUUGGUCAAAACCCGGGUCAGGUGAGGGUCCGAGUUGGGUGGUCUCAUCUCUUCUCUCCCUUCCAUCCUUUCCUUAUUUCUGAUUGGUCACUCAUUUUUCUUCCUUUUUCCCGAUUGGAAUAGUUUUCUCGCUAUAUGAGCGUGAAAGUUCAACGAUCAAAAGAUGCCUUCUCGAGCUAAAAGCUUGUCUAUUCUUUUCAUUUGUGCAUCUGGGCUUGUAGUUGCGUUGCAAGCGAUUCUCUCUGUCAGGCAUACCUGAUAGUGUCCCCCAUUUUGUUUCGCUUUUGAGCGAAGUCCUUAUUUCUUUUAUGCAAUUUUAUUUCUUCUAUAACAACAUGAUGUUUUCCCCCUUCUAUGGUUGCUCUCCCUCUCUCCCGCCAUUCUCUUCCAAUUGGGCAGCAGGCAUCUUUUUCCUCUCAUUCUCUUUCCGGUUGGCCAAUACUCCCACUCUUUUCUCUCAACUAAUAAUAAAAUAAUAAUAAUAUGAUAACAAAACAAUUUCAAAAUAAUAAUAUAAUAAUUAUGAGAAAUAUAUAAGAUAAUAAAUAGUAAUCUUUACAAGGGUACUUUUUCGAAUUUGUAGUUCUGUAAAAUUUUAACCGUAACUCUAUAUUCGCUUCCGCUUGCCUACGCGUCCGUAUCGUUGAGUACUUCAAGAAUAUGAUAAAUAAUAGCCCAUACGCUUCACGAAAUGAUGGUCAACUGGAGUCAACGAUCUCGCCUCUAAGGGCAUUUUCGUUAAUUCACUCAUUUAAAAUUUAUAAAAACAUAAAAUUAGGGAUGAGUUAUCACAAAAAAUACGUUUGCGCCUUGAAUUGGGUUGGAAAAAUUUCCAAAAUUUUGGGCGAAAAGAGUGACCCAAAACAAAGUCGUAAUUACCAUUACCAUACCAUGCCAACAUAACUAUUUGGCAUGCCAACAUAACUAUUUGGCAUGCCAAAAUUCGGUAUACCAAAAGUUUGGCACAGUAAAGGUAAUAGGUUUUGUCAUACCAAAAGUUUGGUAUGGUAAUUGGUACAUGGGUUUUGGUACAAUAAUCGUACCAAUACCACCCUUAGUGUUAGUUGAAGGUCGUAACAGUUGCAGUGGCAAAUUUUGUAAUUUUUAUUUUUUUUAAAUGCAUUUAAGUAUCAUAAUACAUGAUGAACUUUUUUUAAAUGUAUUUAAGUAUCGUACCAAUAACAUAAAUAUUGUUGAUAUAUUGUCAAUAUUGUAACUUUUUAUUGAUUUUAUACAAAAUCACCCUUUUAUUUAAGAGUAAAUUGUAGCAAUGGUCCAUGAACUUUAAUCAAAUGGGAGCAAUGGUCCCUCAACUAAAAAUCCAUUACUAUUGGUCUCUCAACUUAUCAAAAUGUGUAGCUAUAGUCUUUUUCAUCAAUUUCUUCAAAAUUUUGUCAAAAUAUGUAAUAACCAUUUAUAUAAUUAAGGUCCCUCAACUCAUCAAAGUGUGUAAUUAUGGUCCUUUUCGUCAACUACGUAAAUUUUUUUGUCAAAAUGAGUUAUGUUGGAAGGACCAUUGCUACAAUUAGGUUGAAGUUAAGAGACCAUUUCUCCAGUUGAAUUAAAGUUGAGAGACCAAAGGUAAUGAAUUUUUAGUUGAGGGACCAUAGCUGCACGUUUUGAUGAGUUGAAGGACCAAUGGUAAUGGAUUUGUAGUUGAAGGACCAUUGCUCCAAUUGAGUUAAAGUUAAGGGACCAUAGCUACAAUUUACUCUUUAUUUAAUUGAAACUAAUUUAUAUCCCACUUGAUGAACUUUUUAUGUUCUGAAAAACUUAAACCAUUCAAUUGAAUUAGAAUGCGUGAGAUAUAUGAAUGUUUAGAGGUUAAAACUCUUGAAAUCUUGAACUUUUUUAUUUGUGUUGAAUAGAUUUAGACCGACCAAACUAAACCGAGUCAAGCUAAUUAACUAUGGUUAGGUUUGGUGUAGUUUUAAUGACGGUAUUGGAGGUACAGAACCAAACUGAACCUUUGAGAACUAAUUGAAUCGGCUUUUUUUUUUCUUAUGUCAAACUGAAUCAUACCAAUCCGUACCACCCCUAAUUUAGGAUGUCAACGAACCAGGGUUAAUAAUUUGGAUCCGUGGAAAUGCCCUGAAUCCAAAUAUGGAUGUUGCUCGUAACUGGGCUUUUGCUAGUUCAAAGAAAUAAAUACAAAUAGAAUCGGAGAGGGUCAUUUUCCGGUUGACGAGAAUUUGUCACUUUACGCCGCCUAGCACCAGGCGCCAAUUGCUAUUUAGAUGAGUGUGGUAGUUGAGUAAUGCUAUACUUACCGCUAGUUGUACAAUUAUUUAUAUCAUUUUUUUAAUAGAGAUAGGAAUCCACCAACGUAUAUAUGUCUCAUCUCUCUAAUAGAGAUAAGGCCCGCCAACACAUGUAGGUCUCAUUUCUAUUAACAAAAUAGUAUAAAUGAUGAUAGAACUACGUGAUAAAAGUAGCAUUUUUGUAGUUAUUAUGAUUUCGUUUAAUUAGUUAGUCUGUUAGACAAAACAUUAACUUUUCUAUAUAACAAAGGGGAUAAAACUUGGGUACUGUCUUGUCAGUACCAGACUGACUUAUUAGAUGGCCCAAUAAUUGUCUAAGGGUGAGUUCGGUAUGGUUACCGUACCAAAAUUCUUGUACCAAUUACCGUACCAAACUUUCGGUUUGGUAAAAUCUAUUACCAUUAUCGUACCAAACUUUUGGUAUAAUGAAGUUCGGUAUUGCCAAAAGUUCGGUUGGCAUGGUAUGGCAAUGGUAAUUGCCUUUGCCAUUUUGUUUUAGGACAAAAUCUGUUUUUGUUUUUUUAACCCAAUUCAAGGGCAAAACUUUUUUUUUGUAUCUUUAUCUCAUACAUUAUAGAUUAAAUUCAUCUAUUAUUCAUCAUUCACAAUUCACAUACAUAAUAAUUCAAAUGAUGCAUCAAGAUUCAUCAUGAAAAUUAAGCUUACAAUCCAAAUAGAAGUUAACAAUCCAAAUAGAAAUUAAAGUUUCAAACCAAAUGAAAAUUGGAAGUAAACUUCAAAAAGGAGAAUUCAUUGAUCAUUUAUUCAAGUUUGGGAUGUCGAAGCUUUUGGAGAAGGCAUUGAACUUGUAGAAGAUUGAAUUUGUGUCAAGCCUACAUUACAAACUAAAAAAACAUAUUAAUUAGUAGCAAGAAGAAUUAAAGUUGAAGACCAUUUAAUAACAAAUUUACUAAAAAAAUUAAAGCAUAUCUUUCUUGUUUUCUCUUCUUCCAUUUCUUUGUAAAAUCGAAGCAUAUCAUCUGUUGGUUCCUUGUAGAAGUUUACUUCAUUUGCCCUUAAGCCAACCACUAGUACGCACUAGUGCCUCCAUUAUUUUAAGAGUCAAAGAUACCCUAAAAGGGUCCACAACCCUCCUCCCUAGGCUAAAUGCAUUUUCACCAGCAAUAGUAGAAGUGGGGGUUACAAAGAUAUUAUGGCUAUUUGUGAAAGAAUUAGGAACUCUUUUGUGUUUGAUUUCUUUCCACAAUUUCAAGAGAUCAAAGUCACACACAACAAUGCUAAUAUAAGUAGGGUUUUAUUUUCAAAUUAUUGGAAUAUUAUAAAUAUGUGUUAUAUAAUUAUCUAUUAUAUAAUUUAUAAAUUAUAAAUUGUAUUACAUUUUCGGUAUGGUACGGUAAUACCGUGGUAAUGGUAUCCAUUACCAAUACCGUACCAUGAAAUUUUGGUACGGUAUAAUACCGUACCAUUACCGAUUGGAACAAAAAUUUUGGCAUAAAAUCGGUAUUGUACCGGUUGGCAAUUCGGUUGGUACAGCAAUUUAGCAAAAAAAUCCACCCCUUGUCCACCACCUGUCUUUAAAACUCACAUCCAAAUUCUUGCUAUCCUGAUAACCAAACACCUAUCUUCUUCCUCCCUUCCCUGUGGCAGCCGCUCCGUCAAUCCCAACCUCUCUCCUCCGUCAUCGUUAUUCCUCUGCAAACCCAACCAAACUAUCGCCCUUUCUCUGCAAAUUCGACAAAACCAGUGCACCAACCAAAACCAAUUCUUACAGGUGCCAUGAAUUCGAUUACUCAACGAUUUCAUAAGAUACAAUUAAUCAUCGGUUCUAAAGCUGAUGAACGACGGUGGCUGUUGGUGGUGGGUGAGGACGGUUGUCGAAGGUGCAAAAGACAACAAAGAUGGCGACUCCCAUCUCCAUAUGGGUCUUAUUUUGUUCAUCUUGAAAAGAAAUCAUUUUUUAUUUAAAUUUGCAAUUAUGAUGAAUGGCAGCCAUGGUGGUGAUUGGAAUGGGCGAAGGAAGAUGAAGGAAAAAGAGUGAAAAAGUUGCAGGGAAGAAGAAACGAGGUGUUUGGUUGUGUGUUUCAAGGUGUAUGGUUGUGUGAAUUAUGGGAAAUCAAUUUCAGGUGACCGAAGCUAAGUAGUCUUAAAUUAGUCCAUAUUAUUUUCGUUAAUUGUUUUUAGCGGGUAUUCGCCUAGACCCCCCCCCCCGGCCCUUUCCCCGUGUUAGUUUUAUUUUUUUUUUUUCUUCAUAUUAUUAAUAAAAUCUUGUAGAGGGGGACGGGUGGGGGGUUUCUGGGUGCAACGGUCCUUUCUCUUUUGGAAGAGGAUUGGUGCCUCGUACGCAACUGUUGACGAAGAGCUAAUCUCACCUAAUCCGUCUCUACAAAAAAAUUUUUUUUUUUUAAAAAGUGUAUGGUUGUGUUUAAGAGAAUUCUUAGAACACAGGUGUCCUCAGUUUAGUGGGCCACAUAAGCAAGUCAGCAGUGGAAUUAUUUUGAUUACGUUAACGUCUCACUGACUUCGUAGUUUUCUCUGUAUCCAAACACUCUCAUCAGUUCGGUUUUUUCAUUCUUUUCAUGGUAUCAGGCACGAUUGUGCCCCGCAGUUGUUGAUUACAAUCUUCAUUGUCUCUAUUUCUCUUCAGGUUCUUCAUUUAUCCGUCUCUAAUUUUGAUUGAGACUGAAAAUUGCAGACAACUACCCCCGUGCCCAUCGGGUUCCCAAUAAAUGUCUCUGCAUGUUGAUUUUCCAAGGAGGAAAGAGGUAAUUGCAUAGCAAACAUAACAUUUUUUUCUUAUGUUUGAAGAAAAACUACAUGCAUGCGGUAAGUACAUAAUCUAAAUUGCAGAGCCGUCUCAAUGCAAACUUAAUCCUAAGACGAAAAUAAAAUGAGGUUUUUCUAAUUUAGUAUGUGGUUUUUUUAUAGGCUAGUUAAAUUAUAAAACUUUUCAAUUCAAUCCACCACCAUCUCCACACCAAAGUAAAUUUAACCAUUUAAGGCACAUUAAAUAAGAUUUAGGAAAAUAGUGGAAGACUUCAUAAUCAACAACAGUCGCAGAGCCACAAAGAUGCAAAAAUUUUGUUAAUUACCUAUUUGAAUCUUAUGCACAAUAAAUAGAACCUUAAGGUUAGUUUCCCAUUUGAUUUCGUUUCCUUGUUGACUCUUAAUCUCGAUAGAUUACAAUGUUGAAAGCAACUCCAUAGGAUAAAGAAGAGGGCACCAAAUUUCGCCUCUACAAUAAGAUCUCCUUAUCAUGAAACAAUUAGUAUAAUCUCACUCCAAAAAUGGAUGUUGAUUGUUGUACCAAAAGAAGGUUCAAUUUUGACAGUAAUAAAAGAACAUACACAGCUGAUGAAAACGAGAGACAGCUAACUAGCUCGUGCAUGAGAGCGUGCGAAGAGGCUAGCAAUACUGUGCUUGUAAAAAGAGAUGGAUAUCGCGGUCAUGCCAUACAUAUGAUGUCAUAAUUCACACACCGGAUGGUUUUAUUUUAUUUAUUUUAAAAGAUAAGUUCAUACUACAUUAUUUUCAGUACCACAACAACAACAACAACAACAAAGCCUUUUUCCCACUAAGUGGGGUCGGCUAUAUGAAUCCUAGAACGUCAUUGCGCUCGGUUUUGUGUCAUGUCCUCCGUUAGAUCCAAGUACUCUAAGUCUUUUCUUAGGGUCUUCCAAAGUUUUCCUAGGUCUUCCUCUACCCCUUCGGCCUUGAACCUCUAUCCCAUAGUCACAUCUUCGAACCGGCGCGUCAGUAGGCCUUCUUUACGCAUGUCCAAACCACCGUAACCGAUUUUCUCUCAUCUUUCUUUCAAUUUCGGCUACUCUUACUUUACCUCGGAUAUCCAUAUUCCUAAUCUUAUCUUUUCUCGUGUGCCCACACAUCCAAUGAAGCAUCCUCAUCUCCGCUACACCCAUUUUGUGUACGUGUUGAUGUUUCACCGCCUUCAGUGGCCUAUGAUGGUCACACAACACGUCGGAUGCACUCUCCCACUUCAUCCAUCCAGCUUGUAUUCUAUGGUUGAGAUCUCUAUCGAAUUCUCCGUUCUUUUGCAAGAUUUGCUAAUCCCCCGUUGUUUCUUUUUCAUGUUUUUUUUUUUUUUUAGUUACUGACUUUGUUUCUAUUUGUGUCUUUUAUUUUUACUUAUGAUAUUUGAUUUAGUUUUGUUUCCUUGAUUUCAAGUACUAGAGAAGUAAGACAUGGAUUUUGCUACCAUUCAAGCUCAAUUGGCGAAACUUACUUCUCAAUUGUCACAAUAUGCCGAAGGGACCACAAUGCAAAGUGUCCCUACAGAUGGUGUGUCCUAUGGGCAAGGAUAUCCAACUCAUCAAUGUUCUCAAUUCGCUACGAAUGAAGAUGCUUGGGGUUAUCAAGGCCAUAGCCAAUCAAGGGACAACAUGUUUUCCAACGCUUACAAUUCGGAUUGGAGAGAUUAUUUAGAUUACAUGUGUGGAGAACCGCAACAAUUCCAACAAGAUGGAUAUUGGCAGCAAGAAGAGGAGUUCUAUCACUGGUCAUAUGAACAAUCUGCCCAAUUCCAUUCGGGUACAUCUUUGGAUAAUGAUAUGUUUAAUAAGUUACUCACCUCUUUGAACCAGGAUGUAGAAAUC